rnacentral:rRNA from 1 species
GAUCAUGGCUCAGGAUGAACGCUGGCGGCGUGCCUAACACAUGCAAGUCGAACGGAGCUGCUUUGAUGAAGUUUUCGGAUGGAUUUAAAACAGCUUAGUGGCGGACGGGUGAGUAACGCGUGGGUAACCUGCCUCACACUGGGGGAUAACAGUUAGAAAUAGCUGCUAAUACCGCAUAAGCGCACGGUUCUGCAUGGAACAGUGUGAAAAACUCCGGUGGUGUGAGAUGGACCCGCG